rnacentral:rRNA from 1 species
AGCUCCAAUAGCGUAUAUUAAAAUUGUUGCAGUUAAAAAGCUCGUAGUUGGACGUCAGGUGAGGUGUGUCGGUGUGGUCUAUGAUCAUCUCCGUUCAUAUCUGCCUUUUUUAGCUGUUUGUCUUUCUAUGGUUCUCUUAAUUGAGUGCUUUAGAGAGCUCAGCACGUUUACCUUGAAAAAAUCAGAGUGCUCAAAGCAGGCCUUUGUGCUUGUAUGGUGUUGCAUGGAAUAAUGGAAUAGGACUUCGGUUCUAUUUUGUUGGUUUUCGGAAUCGAAGUAAUGAACAAUAGAGACAGUCGGGGGCAUCCGUAUGGCUGUGUUAGAGGUGAAAUUCUGAGAUCGCAGCCAGACGAACUACUGCGAAAGCAUUUGCCAAGCAUGUCUUCAUUAAUCAAGAACG